CCGCGUCAGCUACUGUGGAGCCACACCAGAUUAUUUGACAAAAAUCUCUACGAUUUGACGAAAGUUAUCGAUGAAUCGCACACAACUUUGAAAAAAAACACACGCAGAUGUAUUCAUUCGUAGGCAUAAGCGUGCAAAUUGCAAGUUAACAUAACUUCAUAAUUAAUUAUUAUAGUAGUGCUCCUAGAGUGGUGGCUUUCAUAUUAUAAUUAUUAUUAUUAUUAUACAAUGAUCAAGUAAACGUGAAGUCUUUAGAAUACGCACUUUUUAGUCAUUUGUCAAGACAUUUGAUAAAUAUUUCAACCAAGAGCGAGAGAUGAGGCGUAGUACGCAAUUCUUCUCACACCCCGUUAAGGCACCUGAGUCCAAUAACUCAAUUCUUUGUACAUCUCAGAAUAAGCAUUUUUUUUUCUCGUUUUAUAUUCAAAACACAUUCAAUAAUGGUAAUAAUAAAACAGUUAUUUGCAGUUGAAUGAAAUAGUAGAUGUUAGAAUCCAAUAGUAAUAUCAUCAAAUGAUUAACAAAAUGGUAUAUACAUAUAAGUACGUAUAUACAAUAAGAACGAAUUGUGGCUGCUAGACGAUACUGUAUUCUUCAUUUUUCAUCAAUCAUACAAUUUUUGCUAAAAUUACUACGUGAAGGGUACUGCUAGCAAUACCAUUAAUCAAUUCACACAGAUGCUUAGUGUACGAAUUUAAAAUGUUUUUCAAAUCUACUCGGAAAACGAGUUAGUAGAUACACUUUUCACUCAUUUCCCAAUUAGAUAACAUACAGUGUACUUGUCAAGUUGAACAGUGAUUCGAUCUCUUAAUCUAUAUACAUCUCUGUAAACAACUUAGUAUAACGUCUAAAGUAUCGCGACAAGUGUACGUGAAUUUUGUAUAUUUUUUUUUUCUCCAUCUUCCUUUGAUAAACGCUGCUUUUUGAAGAACGGAUAAGUAUGCUGCAGAUAUUUGUACAAGAUGUAUUUGCAAAGUGACUAAUUGACUACGUAAACGUGCAUAGUGAAGAUCAUCGCUUAUUUACGGUUUCCAAAGCUUAGAUUUUCUUUGACGAAAAAAAAAUCAAAAAUCAAAAAUAUAAAGAAGUCGCUGCUAAUUGGUUGCCAACAGUAUUUGAACGGCGUCGAUUGAAUUAAACAUAACAGUUUUUUGUUGCAAAUCUGCUUGCAACUUAAUGCAAGUAAAUGGUGUAAAAACUGAAAUAAUUUCAGGAAUUUUAGCUUAAUGUACUCGAGAGAAGCGUGCCGAUGACACUACGGAUACAUAGUUCUAGUAAUCGUGCGAAGUUUCGCGAGUCGUGUCAGCCUGUUAAGAAUCAGCUUUUCUGUAUGUAGUAAUUUUCUCUUAUUUACGCUUUCAAGUAAUAAUUUCAUCUCAUUCGCAUAACUAAGAAGUGAAACAAAAACCACAUGAAAAAUGCCACAUAUACCUGUAGCUAUACUAAUACCUGACUGUUACGUGCUAUCGAUAUGGUGAAAAUUUGAAAUUUGUAUUCGGACCUGAUGUUAGCGUGUCAUCCUUCACAUUUUUACUUUUCAUUCUCAUUAAUCUUUACAUGUUUAUUCUUAAUUUAGGAAAUGAAUAAAAAAAGCGUACAAAAUGAA